UCUACAGCCAUACCACCCAAAAUGCACCCAAUCUUGUCUGAUCUCGGAAGCUAAGCAGGGUUGGGUCUGGUUAGUACUUGGAUGGGAGA
rnacentral:rRNA from 1 species